GAUCGAUUUGCCGUGGGAAUGGUCCAUACGCACAUUUCUUCUUCGUGUCGUCUCGUAUCAGUGCUGUCUUAACGUAUGAACACGCUAUACACUUGCUCCAUAAAUUAAGAAACACCAUGCUAAUUUGUCCAACGUUCAACGCAUUUGUGGUGACAGUGAUCAGAGAAAUUUGCCAUUGCCUUCUUUGGGUGCUUUUAUAUUUUUAUUUUUUAGCCUUUUAUAUCUGAAUGAAAUGAAUUUUAUAAGAGGCUUUAGUGUGCUAAUUUGUCCGAGGGCCCACAAUGAUGUCAACACGGCCCUGCCUCGUACGCACGUUGCUCUCCCCACUACGCACGUUCAGUAAUGACCUGCGUCACAAGAGGCAUCUCGAUCGACCUUAGAUAACCUGCAAUAACAUAGUUUGUGUCUCAAGAGAUGUGUUGACAAUAACUAAGUUGAACUAAAUAAAUAUUCUGAAUUAAUAGCUUUGGCCACACAGUGAUAAACGUUCACUGCCUAUCAGUCGUAUUAUCCAAGAACAAAGCAAAACAAAGUAUGAUAGGAUUCCUAUGCCUAUUACUAUUGUAUACAAUAGAAGAUAACCUAAAAAAGUCAUUCGUUAACUUUAUUAUCAUGGAUAUUGAAAGGAAGGCAAUGGUCCCUUUAACCGGAUGAAACGAGAAAAUUAACACCAUUUUAAAAUGGUUUUGAAUAGGCAGAUAUCACUGAUAUUGCUAAUUAAAUAUUAGCAUUGUAAACCAAGGCAUGGAGACACCUUUCUUCCAGAUAUUUAAUAAUAUAUCUAUGGACAGGCCAUGGAAAAGUUAGACAAGCCAUGCACGUUGGAUUGACAUCUUAAAUUUAAAUCCAGAAAACUACCUGGGGUUGUCAAGAGGACAGGGCAUAUCAUCAUUUUGAAUAAAUCAAUGUUUUUCAAUACUAAAUAAGAGAACAAUCCAACUGUUUUGCUGCAAUGUACCUGCUAUUUAACUUCAAUACAAAUCAAUUAUAAAACAAGCUUUCUAUAUCCAGACUGUGCAAAAGAUUCAACCAAAUCGUAGAAGUUAGAAACAUUCAUUCAAAAGUCUCAUCCAUUGCAUCUUUACAAUUAACAAAAAUAAAUAUACUUACAUAUUGAAUUUUUAGAUAUUGAUAUUUUUAGAAGAUUAAGAUAUUUAUAUUAUACGAAUUACUUGUGAAUCGAAUGAUACAUCACAGUCUAAACCUUGAAAUACGUCGAAGACUGACGACGCAGAAUACAUGACAGCAGAAAGUGUAAUAAAUCAUUGAGAACCUAAACGUCGACCUGGU